rnacentral:tRNA from 1 species
GGCGUCGUAGCCAAACGGCUAAGGCAGCGGAUUGCAAAUCCGCAAUUUACCGGUUCGAAUCCGGUCGACGCCU